GCAACGAAUAGUGGCAUGGCCGAAUACCGAAUAUUAUUUUAUUCGGCCGCCGAUUAUUCGGCUAGAAGUUUUACCUUAAAUGAAGUAAAUUCGAACGCGCGCGUGCGCAUGUCUUUGAUAGAAAUUGCGCUUAUUCUGCACGCAGUGCGUAUUGGAUUGCGGACAUUGCGGUGCGUUAGUUUUCGUCGUGUGU